rnacentral:rRNA from 1 species
GACGAACGCUGGCGGCGUGCCUAAUACAUGCAAGUAGAACGCUGAAGCGAGGAGCUUGCUCUUCUUGGAUGAGUUGCGAACGGGUGAGUAACGCGUAGGUAACCUGCCUUGUAGCGGGGGAUAACUAUUGGAAACGAUAGCUAAUACCGCAUAACAAUGGAUGACACAUGUCAUUUAUUUGAAAGGGGCAAUUGCUCCACUACAAGAUGGACCUGCGUUGUAUUAGCUAGUAGGUGAGGUAACGGCUCACCUAGGCGACGAUACAUAGCCGACCUGAGAGGGUGAUCGGCCACACUGGGACUGAGACACGGCCCAGACUCCUACGGGAGGCAGCAGUAGGGAAUCUUCGGCAAUGGGGGCAACCCUGACCGAGCAACGCCGCGUGAGUGAAGAAGGUUUUCGGAUCGUAAAGCUCUGUUGUAAGUCAAGAACGAGUGUGAGAGUGGAAAGUUCACUCUGUGACGGUAGCUUACCAGAAAGGGACGGCUAACUACGUG